UCACCCUGCACGUGGCCCUGGCUUCUCAAACACCAGCACCUGCCUGAAACAGGAAAUGCCCCCAGCCACGAUCCUUCAGAGAAGGCCACUGCCCCAGCCUCCCCCACCAGCUCCGGGCUCCUCACAGUUGUGGCCUCUGCCUCCACAGGCUAACCGGGACUCCAUGCACCAGAGUUCAAAGAAAGUCUCGUAUCGCAAGUGUUCAACCUUGCGCUUGCGCAUAGUGACAGCAACGCAGCCGACUGGUAUUUCUGCUACUUUGGAUUAGCCCAAGCCAGCACUGAGCGCGGAUGCAGGAGGAAUCACAGAUGGUUUUCUUCUGUCUGUCUCAGCAUUUUGCACAAGGUGUUACACACAGUGGGUGCUCUACAGUCUUAUGCCAGAGCCCCUGUAGCAAGAUCCUGAACUGAGCAAGCUUGGCUUCGUGAUUUUCGGGGGUGCUCUUGGGAAAACUGGAGGGGCUGUGGGGCAGCAGAGCAGGAAGAAAGGGAGUUGUAGAGGAUGGUUCUGACUGGUUCGUGGCGACCUUGGGAUGGAAAUUGUGUCCCUUGUUUGUCCCCACUCCAAGCAAAGGAGAAGGAACCUAGGAGACCUGCAGCCCAGCCUGGGAGAGAUGCACUUCCAAGACUGUCCACUAUGCGGCAGUAGCUGAGUAGUCUGAAGGGCAUUCCGCUGGGAAGGCAAAGGACUACCAAGAAUGGAUAGAAACACAAAGAGGCGUGCGGAGAUCGCUGCCCUCCAGAAUGUUAGCUCUACCUCUGAAUGCAGAAGCUCGGUGUGACUUCCCGCGUGCUCAGGAAAGAGGAUGGGGACGCUAAGUAAGGGGGAGCUCCUGUAACUUACACUGAAGAAUGCCGGUCAGAGCCAGGAGACCCACGAAGCAGCCAGUCUCCGCCAGGAUUUCACAAGCGCUAGAGCGACUGAGUUUGUCUUAGGAGCCCUGCUGUGUGUCUACCGUGAAGCUAAAUCUUCCCAAAAUCCACUCAUCUAACUCUCCCACGGCUCGGUGUAGAGGAGGAGACAGGGGCGUGAGUGGGGACCUGCUUUGCUUAAGGGCAAAGACGAUGUUGGAUUAGUCCUCCGAAGAUGUAAAUUAAAACCGCGGUGAGUGGGCUGGGUAUGAACAUGCUUUUAUUCCAGUACUUGAGAGACAAAGCCUGGUGGAUCUUUGAGUGCAAAGCCUGCCUGGUCUCUAUAGUCAGUUUCAGGCCAGCCAGGGGUACAUGGUUAAACCCUGUCUCAAAAUAAAACAAACAAACAAAAUAAAAUAAAGCCUCCGUAAGGGGUGAUAAAAAUGGCUCAGUGGCUAAAAGCAUGUCCUACCUCUUGCAAAGGACCCAAGUUUGAUUCCCGUGCCCAUAUCAGGUGGUUCACAACUCCCAGAGGUUCUGGUACCCUCUUCUGGCCUCCCAGGGCACCUGCACGUAUGUGCAUUUAUCCAUACACAGAUAUAGAACUAAAAAUAAAACAGCUCUAAAUGCACAUGCAUAGAGUGAGAUGCCAUUCACAAGGGCUA
rnacentral:lncRNA from 1 species